GCCCGGAAGCGGCGGCCGGCGGGACCCGGACCCGGCACCGGCACCGGGAGGUGACGCUGCCCUGGUGUGCCCAUGUCCCCGGAGGAUGAGCAAGCCCCCGGAGCUGCAGCACGACCUGGAACGAAGCCUCCCUGCCAUCGCCUCCAUCAGCUCCUCCCUCUCGCAGAGCCAGGGGUUUUCCCCUUAUUUCCUCUCCCCGGAGAAGAGAAAAGCCAUCUCGGAUGUGAGGAGAACCUUCUGCCUCUUCGUCACCUUCGACCUGCUCUUCAUCUCCCUGCUGUGGAUCAUCGAGCUCAAUACCAAGGUGGGCAUCAAGGAGAACCUGAAGGAUGAAAUCAUCAACUACAAAUUCAAGACUUCAUUCUUUGACAUCUUUCUCUUGGCUCUGUUUCGCUUUCUGGUGCUGCUCCUGGGCUACGCCGUGCUGCGCCUGCGCCACUGGUGGGUCAUCGCGGUCACCACACUGGUGUCCAGUGCCUUCCUGAUUGUCAAGGUCAUCCUCUCCGAGCUUCUGACCAAAGGGGCCUUUGGGUAUUUACUUCCCAUUGUCUCAUUUGUCAUUGCUUGGCUGGAGACCUGGUUCCUGGAUUUUAAAGUCCUUACUCAGGAAGCAGAAGAGGAACGAUGGUUCCUGGCAGCCCAGGCUGCAGCCUCGAGGCCUCUGCUGUACCCCAGAGCCCUCUCCGAGGGACAGUUCUACUCCCCACCCGAGUCCUUUGCAGGCUCAGACAACGAGUCUGAUGAGGAAGGUGUGGGGAGGAAGGCCUUGACAACUCAGGAAAAGGAAUAUGUCCGACAAGGCAAAGAGGCCAUGGAGGUUGUGGACCAAAUCCUCGCUCAGGAGGAGAACUGGAAGUUUGAGAAAAACAAUGACUUUGGUGAUGUUGUUUACACUUUUGAAAUCCCUUUCCACGGCAAGACCUUUAUUUUAAAGGCUUUCCUGCAGUGCUCCCCUGAAAUGGUUUACCAGGAGGUGAUUCUGCAGCCCGAGAAGAUGAUCCUGUGGAACAGAACAGUGGCAGCUUGCCAGAUCUUGCAGCGGGUUGAGGACAACACGAUCGUCUCGUACGACGUGGCGGCCGGAGCUGCUGGCGGGGUGGUGUCCCCAAGGGAUUUCGUGAACGUGCGUCGGAUCGAGAGGAGGAGGGACAGGUACGUGUCCUCAGGGAUGUCGACCACGCACAGCCUGAAGCCUCCGCUCUCCAAGUACGUCAGGGGUGAGAAUGGACCUGGAGGAUUCAUCGUGCUGAAAUGUCCCAGCAAUGCCAAGGUCUGCACCUUCAUCUGGAUCCUCAACACAGAUCUGAAGGUAAAAGGCAGCUCCUGGGUGAGGCAGCUGAGCCCCAUCCCCAGCACAGCCCAAGGCUCUGCUCCAGCAUCCCAGCAGCCACACAAGGGGCCCCUGAAGGGACUCGGGUUUGGCAAGUGAGGGGUUAAACUGCUCCAAAAUCCCCCUCCUUUCCCUCAGUGGGAGUUUGGGAAGCUCUUCCUUAUUUCAGGUCUCUCUCAGGGGUUUCAGUUCUUGAUGCAGCACUGGGUGAGAGGAGUUUUUAAUCCUUUUUAGUGACCAAAUCCACUUUGAGUCAACUUUUGUGCCGGGGGCGGGGGGGCAAUUCCCUGCUCCAGAACCCCCUGGCACGACCACAACCCCUCAAAAUCCUCCCUCACCGUGGGCAAAACGAGCUGCCCCAGCUCCGGAGCUGUUUGUGGAGCUGCCUGUCAUGGAGGGACCGGGACGGGGCGGGAACAACGGGAGCUGAGCUGGCCCCGUUCCUUCCUCCACCGAAGGUUGGCGUGGUAACAGCGCUGCCGCAGCAGCACAAAGGCUCCAUUCAUUCAUCCAUCCAUCCAUCCAUCCCUCGGCUGUGCUGCUGCAGCGCUGCUGCCCCCUCCUCUCCCCUCCCCUCCCCUCCCACGGCCCCUUCCCCUCCCCCUGAGCGCUUCAGGGAAAAGCUUUGGGAAGCUCCAAGAGCAGAUCGUGCCCACCCUGUGGUGCCCAGGGGAUGUUUGAUGUUUUCCUCCCCCCAGGGAUGUUUUCCUCCCCUGGAUCCGGUGCCCAGCACGGUUUUGGGGCAGGGGGAUGGAUAACAAACCCCCCUCCCCAUGAUGGGGCUGGGGAAGAAAAGAGUUUCCUUGUCCUUGUGCUUGUGCCGGCACCGCCUCCGCCGUGGAAGGAAUGCCGAGCUAUUAAUAACCCCCAAGUGCUCCCAGCGCCUUCCCCAGGGGCUCUGCCAGCCCUGCCAGACCCCUCGGCAGCUCCUGGCUCUUCCCUUCGGCCCUGGGCGAGUAUUUAUAGCCCGUGGUUCAUCCCUUCCUGCUCCUCGGGGCAGGGAGCAUCCCACACGUGUGUGCGUUUGUGUGAAACGGACCCUGGAACAGCGGCCUCGCACUUCUCCUGCCCCUGAUCCGAGGGAAAACCCCCCUCUC